rnacentral:rRNA from 1 species
UACGGAGGGGGCUAGCGUUGUUCGGAAUUACUGGGCGUAAAGCGCACGUAGGCGGCUUUGUAAGUUAGAGGUGAAAGCCCGGGGCUCAACUCCGGAAUUGCCUUUAAGACUGCAUCGCUAGAAUUGUGGAGAGGUAAGUGGAAUUCCGAGUGUAGAGGUGAAAUUCGUAGAUAUUCUGAAGAACACCAGUGGCGAAGGCGACUUACUGGACACAUAUUGACGCUGAGGUGCGAAAGCGUGGGGAGCAAACAGG